rnacentral:rRNA from 1 species
UGAGUACGAGACACUACGGUGUCGAAGCAGUCUAUGUCAUACUUCCAAGAAAAGCUUGCACUGUCAUAAACAAAUAAUGCCUGUACCAUGACCGACACAGGUGGGUAGGUGGAGUAUACUAAGGGGCGCGAGAUAACUCUCUCUAAGGAACUCGGCAAAAUGACUCCGUAACUUCGGGAGAAGGAGUGCCUUAUAUUUUAUAAGGUUGCAAUAACAAGAUCCAAGCAACUGUUUACCAAAAACACAGGUCUCCGCUAAGUCGUAAGACGAUGUAUGGGGGCUGACGCCUGCCCAGUGCCAGAAGGUUAAAGAAGUUGGUUAGUAUUUGCGAAGCUGAUAACUGAAGCCCUGGUGAACGGCGGCCGUAACAAUAACGGUCCUAAGGUAGCGAAAUUCCUUGUCGGGUAAGUUCCGACCCGCACGAAAGGCGUAAUGAUUUGGAUACUGUCUCGGAGAGGGACUCGGUGAAAUAGACUUGUCUGUGAAGAUGCGGACUACUUGCACCAGGACAGAAAGACCCUAUGAAGCUUUACUGUAACUUGAAAUUGAAAUUGGACUUUACUUGCGCAGUAUAGGUGGGAGGCUUUGAGAAUAUUCUUGCGGGAAUAUUGGAGCCAUUAGUGAGAUACCACUCUGGUAAUGUUAGAUUUCUAACUUUGUAUCAUUAUCUGGUCAAAGAACAGUUUCAGGCGGGCAGUUUGACUGGGGCGGUCGCCUCCUAAACGGUAACGGAGGCGCACAAAGGUUUCCUCUGAACGGGUAGAAAUCGUAUCUAGAGUGUAAAGGCAUAAGGAAGCUUGACUGUGAGACCUACAAGUCGAGCAGGGACGAAAGUCGGUCUUAGUGAUCUGACGGUGCUGAGUGGAAAGGCCGUCACUCAACGGAUAAAAGUUACUCUAGGAUAACAGGCUGAUCCCCCCCAAGAGUUCACAUCGACGGGGAGGUUUGGCACCUCGAUGUCGGCUCAUCGCAUCCUGGGGCGGUAGUACGUCCCAAGGGUUGGGCUGUUCGCCCAUGAAAGCGGUACGCGAGCUGGGUUCAGAACGUCGUGAGACAGUUCGGUCCAUAUCCGGUGUAAGCGUUAGAAUAUUGAGAGGAGCCUUCUUUAGUACGAGAGGACCGAGAAGGAUGCACCGCUGGUGUACCAGUUAUUGUGCCAACAGUAAACGCUGGGUAGCUAUGUGUGGAGUGGAUAACCGCUGAAAGCAUCUAAGUGGGAAGCCCACCUCAAGAUAAGUAUUCUUAUCACGUAAGUGAAUAAGGUCACGGUAAGACUAACCGUUUGAUAGGCAUUAAGUGUAAAUCUAGUAAUAGACGAGCUGAGAUGUACUAACAGACCGAAGACUUG